UGGGAUGAAGAGUCAGAGUGUACUCCAGGCAAGUUUUGGAUAGUACUAAACUGGCAAGAGUGGCUGAAAUCCCCUCAUGCUGUGCUGCUACUCAAGAAGACCUGGACAGGCUGGAGAAUGGGGCAGAGGGAAACCUUGUGAAGUUCAGCAAGGGUGACACCUUUUGGAGAUGACAGAGUUUCCACGUGCUCCCAGUUGUGACUAUUUGCCAGACAAUGUUUUUGCCUGUUGAUCCCAAGGCACUGUAAUCUUCUGACAGUCCAAACCUGCAAUUAAAGAGGUGAGUAACUUA